rnacentral:rRNA from 1 species
GGACGAACGCUGGCGGCGUGCUUAACACAUGCAAGUUGAACGGUAUGGCAUGGAAGCUUGCUGAAGUGUCAUAUAGUAGCGGACGGGUGAGUAAUGCAUGAGAAGCUGCCAUUGGGAGGGGGACAACAGUUGGAAACGGCUGCUAAUACCCCGUAUGCCGGAAGGUGAAAGGGAGCGAUCCGCCCGAUGGGGUGCUCAUGUCCUAUCAGCUGGUUGGUGGGGUAACGGCCUACCAAGGCGACGACGGGUAGCCGGCCUGAGAGGGUGAACGGCCACACUGGAACUGAGAUACGGUCCAGACUCCUACGGGAGGCAGCAGUGGGGAAUAUUGGGCAAAUGGGGGCAACCCUGACCCAGCGACGCCGCGUGAGGGAAGACGGCCUUCGGGUUGUAAACCUCUUUUGUACGGGAAGAAGGAAGUGACGGUACUGUACGAAUAAGUCCCGGCUAACUACGUGCCAGCCGCCGC